ensembl:lncRNA
CGAACUGUUUCGGCUGGGAAGCAUGCGUACGCCUUUGUGACCUCCAAGCUGCCUCCCAUUGGUCCUGUCAUAGUUCUAGUUCAGUCUGGUCCUGAUCCCAGUCCACACCACUACUCUACUGUACUCUACUACUCUACUAUUCUAUUCUACUACUCUAUUCUACUCUACUCUAUUACACUACUCUAUUACACUAUUCUACUCUACUCUAUUACACUACUCUAUUACACUACUCUAUUCUACUCUAUUACACUACUCUAUUCUACUCUAUUACACUACUCUAUUCUACUCUAUUACACUACUCUAUUCUACUCUACUCUAUUACACUACUCUAUUACACUACUCUAUUCUACUCUAUUACACUACUCUAUUCUACUCUACUCUAUUACUCUACUGUACUCUACUACUCUACUAAUCUAUUCUACUACUCUAUUCUACUCUACUCUAUUACACUACUCUAUUACACUACUCUAUUCUACUCUAUUACUCUACUCUAUUCUACUCUACUCUAUUACUCUACUCUAUUCUACUCUAUUACACUAUUCUACUCUACUCUAUUACACUACUCUUACACUGCUCUAUUACACUACUCUAUUACUCUACUCUACUCUACUAUUCUAUUAUACUACUCUAGUCUACUCUAUUACACUACUCUAUUCUACUCUAUUACUCUACUAUUCUAUUCUACUACUCUACUCUACUACUCUACUGUUCUAUUCUACUACUCUAUUUUACUCUACUCUAUUACUCUACUGUACUCUACUACUCUACUAUUCUACUAUACUCUACUCUAUUCUACUCUACUACUAUACUCUAUUCUACUCUAUUCUACUCUACUCUACUGUACUCUACUACUCUACUAUUCUACUACUCUAUUUUACUCUACUCUACUCUAAUACUCGACUCUAUUACUCUACUCUACUUUACUAUUCUAUUCUACUACUCUAUUCUACUGUACUCUACUAUUCUAUUACUCUACUCUUACUCUACUCUAUUCUACUCUACUACUAUACUCUACUACUAUACUGUAUUCUACAACUCUAUUCUACUCUAUUACUCUACUGUACUCUACUACUCAACUAUUCUAUUCUACUACUCUACUCUACUACUAUACUCUACUACUCUAUUCUAGUACUCUACUCUAUUCUACUCUACUCUAUUCUUCUACUCUACUACUAUACUCUGUUCUUCUACUCUACUACUAUACUCUGUUCUUCUACUCUACUACUAUACUCUAUUCUUCUACUCUACUACUAUACUCUGUUCUUCUACUCUACUACUAUACUCUGUUCUUCUACUCUACUACUAUACUCUGUUCUUCUACUCUACUACUAUACUCUGUUCUUCUACUCUACUACUAUACUCUAUUCUUCUACUCUACUACUAUACUCUGUUCUUCUACUCUACUACUAUACUCUGUUCUUCUACUCUACUACUAUACUCUGUUCUUCUACUCUACUACUAUACUCUGUUCUUCUACUCUACUACUAUACUCUGUUCUUCUACUCUACUACUAUACUCUGUUCUUCUACUCUGCUACUAUACUCUGCUCUUCUACUCUACUACUAUACUCUGUUCUUCUACUCUGCUACUAUACUCUGUUCUUCUACUCUACUACUAUACUCUGUUCUUCUACUCUACUACUAUACUCUGUUCUUCUACUCUGCUACUAUACUCUGUUCUUCUACUCUACUACUAUACUCUGUUCUUCUACUCUACUACUAUACUCUGUUCUUCUACUCUACUACUAUACUCUAUUCUUCUACUCUGCUACUAUACUCUGUUCUUCUACUCUACUACUAUACUCUGUUCUUCUACUCUGCUACUAUACUCUGUUCUUCUACUCUGCUACUACACUCUGUUCUUCUACUCUACUACUAUACUCUGUUCUUCUACUCUACUACUAUACUCUGUUCUUCUACUCUACUACUAUACUCUGUUCUUCUACUCUGCUACUAUACUCUGUUCUUCUACUCUACUACUAUACUCUGUUCUUCUACUCUACUACUAUACUCUGUUCUUCUACUCUACUACUAUACUCUGUUCUUCUACUCUACUACUAUACUCUGUUCUUCUACUCUACUACUAUACUCUGUUCUUCUACUCUACUACUAUACUCUGUUCUUCUACUCUACUACUAUACUCUGUUCUUCUACUCUACUACUAUACUCUGUUCUUCUACUCUACUACUAUACUCUAUUCUUCUACUCUACUACUAUACUCUGUUCUUCUACUCUACUACUAUACUCUGUUCUUCUACUCUGCUACUAUACUCUGUUAUUCUACUCUACUAAUCAACUCCACUACCCUACUUUAUACUACUCUACUCUUCAUGUGAAAAUACUUGAAUCCAAAAGGAAAAUUCUCACUGAACAAAAGGAGAAAUUCUGUAUUUGA